GACCUCGACCUCAGCUAGGAAGUGUGGAGCCCAGGCGGAGGGCUGGGAGUGAGUGCGGGGUGCUUGUGGGGUGUGUGCAGAAUUCACGGAAGGCAACGACAGGAAAGCAAAAGUGACUCACCAGACAAUAGAGAAGUUAGGAGGACCUGGGCCCUGGACGUGUGCAUAAGAAGGGAACAACAGCCACUAAAGACAGCUUGCAGUUGCCAGCCUUUCUUCUUUUCCUAUAUCAACACUGGAACGGCUAACCUCUUGUUUCACCAAGCAAGCAAAAAUGAAAAGAAAAAAA